rnacentral:rRNA from 1 species
GAUGAACGCUAGCUACAGGCUUAACACAUGCAGGUCGAGGGGUAACGAGAGGAAAGCUUGCUUUCCUUGUCGACGACCGGCGCACGGGUGAGUAACGCGUAUCCAACCUGCCCCCAACUAGGGAAUAACCUUGCGAAAGUAAGACUAAUACCCUAUAAUUUCCUCAGAUGUCAUCUGACGAGGAAUAAAGAUUUAUCGGUUGUGGAUGGGGAUGCGUCUGAUUAGCUUGUUGGCGGGGUAACGGCCCACCAAGGCAACGAUCAGUAGGGGUUCUGAGAGGAAGGUCCCCCACAUGGGAGCUGAGACACGGUGCAAACUCCUACGGGAGGCAGCAGUGAGGAAUAUUGGUCAAUGGGCGGAAGCCUGAACCAGCCAAGUAGCGUGCAGGAUGACGGCCCUAUGGGUUGUAAACUGCUUUUAUACAGGAAUAAAGUUAGCCACGUGUGGUUAUUUGUAGGUACUGUAUGAAUAAGGACCGGCUAAUUCCGUGCCAGCCGCCGCAGUAACAC